UAAGCUAUAUUUCCUGUAUACAUUCUUGGACUGCCAGAAACUGAGCCUGGGCAUCUUCCAGAAGUGUUAAAAAAUUAAUCAGACCAGUGAAGCACAUGUGAAGACAAUGGUGAAUCCUGACAAACUUUUAGAUGACUUCUCACAGAUAGAAAAGAAAAUGUCAGAAAUUAAUGAAAAGAAUAACCUUCUGGUUCUUCAACUAGAAAAAUCCAACAGGCUAUUAACAUUAAGCCAAUCAAAGGAAGAUUCAAU